CAAAAACUUUGUGAUCGUGCUUGAGUUUGUCACCACUUGGUGAUGAAUUCGCACUUGAAUUGCAGAGGAAAACGAUUCAAUGAUGAAGAUUCACCAUGAAUCAUUGAGAAUCGAUGAAAAUUUGAUGAAUUUGUUCAUGAAUUUGGUUCUGGAGAAUUAGGGUUCUUGCUUGUUCUUGAUGGUUUCUGAAUUUUGAUCUAACUGAAUGGAGAGAGAAAUUGGAGUUCUGUUUGUGAUGUGGCGUGAAUUCUAUCGCUUUUUCUGACACUGUGCACUAUUU
rnacentral:lncRNA from 1 species